UCGGGAUGAGGUUAUGAAGGUAGAAAGAUAACAUGGAUAAAAUGAAAAAGAAAAUGUAAGACUAUCGAUGAUGGUGGUUUAGGAGUAAAGGAAAUGAGAUGUUUUAACAUGACACUCUUAGACAAGUGAAGAUGGAGGCUAGAAAAGAAAAAAGAGGUUUGAGGAGAGAUAUUUUAGCUUCAAAAUAAAGGUCAGGGAGAGCUUUAAACAAUGUAAGGAUAAUAAUUUUGACUCGCAGUGGUGGAGGGAUCUUAGGAAAGCAUGCGAAAAUGGAUAAGGAAAAAUCUACACACAAGAAGUUACAAAAUGUUAUAAGAGUGGAUGAUGAGGUUUUGUAUGAAAAACUCUAGAAAACAAAAACUUUAACUAACCUAGUUUUUUUUUUCUUGAAGACUUUGUUUAAAAUAAGUUAUCGACACAUGAUAACUUAUAUAAAAAGGGAAUCCAACUAGGUAGUAUUAGAUGUGUUAUGUAUGAAACUUGUAAUGAAUAA
rnacentral:lncRNA from 1 species